CUGGACCUGGAUGCGCUGAGUGAGAACAAGAUCGGGGACGAGGGUGUCUCACAGCUCUCAGCCACCUUCCCCCAGCUGAAGUCCUUGGAAACCCUCAAACAAGGGCUCGCUGUGUCACCCAGGCUAGAAUAUAGUGCUAUGAUCAUAUCUCUGCAGCCUUGAACUCCUGGCCUCAAGGAAUCUCCUCACCUCCACUUCCCAAAGUGCUGGGAUUAUACCAUGCCCAGCCCCAGUGGAUUCAUCCAUUCACUCAUUCACCUAUUCAAUCAGCCAUUCAUCCUUCCAUUCAAUGAUUCAUCCAUUCACUCAUGCAGUCAUUUCUUUACUCCCUCAUCCAACCACUCACUCAAUCAUUUCUUUAUUUAAUUAUCCAACCAUUUAUUAAUUUAAUCAACAAAUAUUUAAGGAGGACCUACUAUGUGCAGGCACCUUUCUAGGCCCUGGAGACCCAGCUUUAAACAAAACAAAUAAAUCCCCUGACCUCAGGAAUCUUAAAUUCUAGUGAGGAGACACAAUGAACAAGUAAACAAGUCGGUAAUUAUAAAGUAUACAG
rnacentral:sRNA from 1 species